UACGUAGGGGGCGAGCGUUGUCCGGAUUUACUGGGCGUAAAGAGCGUGUAGGCGGCCAUACAGGUCCGUUGUGAAAACUGGAGGCUCAACUUCCAGACGUCGACGGAAACCGUGUGGCUAGAGUCCGGAAGAGGAGAGUGGAAUUCCUGGUGUAGCGGUGAAAUGCGCAGAUAUCAGGAAGAACACCGGUGGCGAAGGCGGCAUCCUGGACCAAUAUUGACGCUGAGGAGCGAAAGCUAGGGGAGCAAACGGG
rnacentral:rRNA from 1 species